rnacentral:sRNA from 1 species
CUUGUAGUAUCAACAGUGACCCAGAAGCCAAGUGUUUUGCUGUGCGUUCUCUGGGAUGGGUAGAGAUGGCAGAAGAGGACCUCGCCCCCGGUAAAAGUAGUGUUGCGGUCAACAACUGCAUCAGGCAACUUUCCUACUGCAAAAAUGACAUCCGAGACACGGUCGGGAUUUGGGGAGAGGGGAAAGACAUGUACCUGAUCCUGGAGAAUGACAUGCUCAGCCUGGUGGACCCCAUGGACCGCAGCGUGCUGCACUCGCAGCCCAUCGUCAGCAUCCGCGUGUGGGGCGUGGGCCGCGACAAUGGCCGGGAUUUUGCUUAUGUAGCAAGAGAUAAAGAUACAAGAAUUUUGAAAUGUCAUGUAUUUCGAUGUGACACACCAGCAAAAGCCAUCGCCACAAGUCUCCACGAGAUCUGCUCCAAGAUUAUGGCUGAACGGAAGAAUGCCAAAGCGCUGGCCUGCAGCUCCUUACAGGAAAGGGCCAAUGUGAACCUCGAUGUCCCUUUGCAAGGUAAGUCAGUGGUACCUCAUGUCUUCAUUAUGGCCCUGUCCCUCCUGGUCCAGGACUGAAGGCUCUCAGAUGGUUCUCUGGUAUUUCAAGUCUCCUUAAAGAGCACACUCAACUCAGUAAGCACAAGUUGAGCCCGCACGCUGGGUCUCAGAGGCACAGUUGAUUUUGCAUCACUAGGGUUAGGCACAAAGCCAGGAUGAGUUUUGUUGUUAUUGGACAAGAUUUAAAGAAUAUUGUCUUUAGUUUUUGCCUUCGUUUUCAUUUUGUUUUGUAUUUUAUGUUCUUUAAGAAUACUGUCUUCAUAUUAUAAUUCAUGUACAACCUGGGAUAAGGACCCUGGCUG